GCUUAUACAUUUUUACACAAAACUAUUUUAAAUAAUUCAAUCAUUUUUAUUUUAUUUUUCAUUCUUUAAACAAUUCUGAAAAAAAUUGUACCAUGGUUUACACAAAUUUUAUCAUGGUUUACACAAAAGUAAAAAAGUAGCACAAAAAUCAGCACUAAAUCAGCAUAUUAGAAUGAUUUCUAAUAACUUUAUCAUCACAUGAUUAAAAUCUUAAAAUAGAAAAUGUCCAUUUAAAUUGUAAUAUUUUUUUCCCACAAUAUUGUUGUUUUUAUUUUUGAUCAAAUAACUAUAGCCUUGGUGUGAGAAUGAGAGGUUUCUUUUAAUAAUAUGUAGGAGAGCAUUACAACAAAUGGCCCUGGAUGCUAAAUCAUGUCUGAAUUAACACACCACCCUAGUUUGAAAGCAGCAGAGGUUAGUGGCCUCACUGACACUGCUGUGAUGAACUCCUAAUUAGAGGAGGAAUGCCAAACUUGCUUGUCUAACCGGCACAGCGAGCCGUCUUGCCUGACAGUGCACAGAGAAAAGGUCUUUAUUAAAGCCCACAUUUGUUUUGACUAAAUUGAAAUGGGAAAAUCAGUGUUAUUUCAAUAUUAAGCUUCUUUGGGUCCUGGAUUCAGGUUUUGAUCUACAGUACAGGCCCACUUAGAGUGUUUACCCACAUGAUGGCUAACGCUUGUGUUUGAUAAGCCCUCUUGAAAAAUAUCAGUGGUUUGCCAGCUAUUUGCCUGUCACCAGUUUCAAUUGAGUGCCGAGAUGAUUGCCUAACACCAGUUUGUGGAUAUGUUCAUGCCUUCAGCUUUGCCAGUAGACUACAAGUGAGCUUGAAAUAGUAUUUUAUUAUUUAAUCCUCCUUUAUAGUUUUUAAACAUUCACUUCAGCUCGAUCAGCAUGGCUCAGUUAACAAAGUUGGUGUCAUAACUGCUGCUUUCUAAUGCUGGAUUGAUUGUAAUUCAGUGUAGCAGUGUAUUCAGAUUAAAUAUUUUUUAUUUGCAAACAAAUUGAAAUUAUUUCAGUAAAGUCAGUGUUGUACUAGUUGCAGUUCUUCUUUAGGGCUCUUGAAAAAAUUUAAAUGGACUUUUAUUUAUUUAUUAAUAUUUAUUCAGUACUAUGUAGCUACUCAUGUACAACAAAAGGCAGAUUGCCUACUUCCCUUCACAAGACAAAAAUCUGCAAUUGAGAUGACUGGGAAUGCUAAUGGAUAGAUUAUAGACAUCCUUGAGCUUGACAAAUCAGUCAAGACUUCAAUCAAGUCAUUUUCAUCGAGAAAUUAUGUGAGUAAUGUUGUGGGGUAGUGCGCACAUUACCUAUAUCAUGUCUCUUCGAUUGUGACAUUAUUGUCAUUAUUAAUGUGUUGCUGCAUAUCGCUUCAUGUCAUCUAUGUGGAAUUUUGGCAGGUCAGGUCUUUUGGAAAUCCUCUGUGUUUUCUUUCUGAAACUGGGGAAGAGAUGAACAUAACAAGCACUGUGGUAUGUUAAUAACUAGUUUAUUUAUUUGUGUGACUGAAUGCAAUUUUGUUGCCUAUAAAUUAGAAGAAUGCUGGAUCCCAAAACAUUAUUUAUUGAGUGUUAUGUUACAUUACUCCAGUGGAGGCUGCAGAAUUGAGCUCUUUGCUGUUUUUGCUAUAAAAUCCUUUGUUUUGAGAUUUUGUAACUUUUUGUUCAUGACUGUAAAUCUAUUUGGAAAUGUUGCACAAGUACAAGUACAAUGCACAAGUAGUUGCUUAGGAUGUUGCCCCAUGAAGCCUUUUCAGAAACCCUGGAUACUCUAUUAACUUACUUGGCCGGUUGUCAUAAUCUGAGACUGACUGAUUCACAAUGACCUCUGAAUGUCUGGUAAAACACCUACUUGAUGAGUCAUCGUACCAAAACAGCUUAUUUGUAAUGAUUAUGCAAACCGUAUUUAUAUAUGUAAACUAUAAGAUGGAUAGUUCCAACUAUAAAUACUGACUGGAUGAGCUACAUUCAAAGCCAUGCCAUCUAUAUUAAUACACAGAGUUGUUAUGGUGCUUGGCGACCAUAAGCAGCUGACAGUUAAGGUUAUGAACUAGAUUAUUGGUGUCCUGUCUUAUAUCUGUUUCUGCCUUUUUAUAAAAGUAAUAAGACACAUGAGGUUGUGUGUGAUUUUUAUUUUAGGGAAGACAUUAAGCCGAGAACACCCUUUAGCUGAGAUAAAAUCACUGUAAUGAAUGUCCUCUCAUUGCUUAUAAAAUGCUUUAUUAACCAACAAUUUGCUAACACAAUAUAAACAAGACAUUUAUAAAUGAAUCAAACAUCUGUAGUUUUUUUCUUUUUUAAUUCACCAGUGUAAAAUGUUUUAAUGCAGUGAUUGUGAAUGGCUAGCUUUUAUAUUUAGCACUGUAGAAGAUACGAAUGCUUAUCUCAGCAGUCAAUCCUGUAAAGGAGGAACUGCUAGUGGGCAAAUUUAGGGCUCAAGCAAUGCCUGUCUUUGUGUAACUAAAAACUCCUAUAUAGCUAUGUAUAAUUUUUGUACAUAAUCAUAUGUAAUAUUUAUGUCAGGCCGGAUCUGUACAUCUUUCACUGACCUAACCCCAGUGGUACUUAACGUACUGCAGUUUAUAAAUACAUCUGUAUGAAUAAAUGGGUUUAUGUUCUACAGCUCGAUUUAGCAUAAAGGCGCUCUCUUUCACUUAACUUAGUAUUUAGAGGCCAAGCCUGAGAGCUGCCUACCUCUGCAUCCCCUGUUUCUUCCACACUAGUCAGUAUAUAUGGGUUUGGUCUAGCUAUAUUAGUCUGGAAUCUAUGAAAUGCCAGCUCCCACUGCCAGCAAUCUCAACAUGUUCAAGCAAGUGAGUGGACCAUACUUUAAACCACUAACACAGGGGUGUCAAGCUCAUUUUAGGUCACGGGCCAAAAUGGACUAUGCGUCACUUAAUGCGGACUUACUUUUAUUUGAUAAACCUUGGUGAACCCAUAGAGGGUGCUUGCAUGAUUCAUACUCACAUAUCCAGGAUUAAUUAAUCAAUAUUGGAUCAAUGUGGAAUUUGACCGGAGACCUUUAGAUAAUGUAUACUAUACAUACAACAGUCAUAAGUAAGGAAUGUUAAUUUAACAGUGACCACAAUAAAGCAUGUAUAUAGUAAGUCUUAUAAUUAUUUAUGAUGAUUGAGAAAAUCUAUGAAAAUCUGCUUCGUCACGUACAGAUCCAGUUUUGAGUCAAAAGUAGGAGACGUAGACUGAGUGCCACAAUUUGUUUUAAAAAAAUGUUUCUUUUUGCUGUAACCCAAGUUAAUCCAUCCUGCUGUAAAAAGCAGAAUAUUAUGAAUCUCUCGUACAGAUAUAAUAAAUGUUUGGGAAUGUUUUCAUCGUAAUUAAAUUCUUGGAAAUUCGAUUAGACUUCUCCACGGGCUGUAUAUUGGGACUGUGGGCCAUAUGUUUGACACCCCUGCCCAAAAGGAUUCUGUAAACCCAUAUAUUUUAGAGCAAGUGUUAGAUUGCUGUUCACUUUGGCCAAAUGUCUGUUGUUUAGUGUAAUCUAUAACAUAUGUUUCAGUUCUAGAAAAUGGAGGUCAAGGGACAGCGAGUGCUGUGAUUCCCAUCACUGAACGUUCGGAAGAGGAAUUGUCGUAUUUGUGUGCAUAGUGCAUCAUGUGUGACUCAUUUACAAUGGACCGAACAAUAGGAAUCUUAAUCAAAAGAUUUGCAGCUAAUUAUCAGAGUAAACAGUGUAGUGGACCCCUCAGGAAUGGCUAAGUUUGAUCCGUGUGUGUUUGGCGAAUCAAUCUCUUCUCCGUUCUGGCCAACCCAAACACAGAUUAGUAGAAAGUUGAGUUUUCUUCCCCCUCAACUUCGAUGUGGGGUAAUUGAGCACGUUGUAUCUGGUGGGACUGGUGUUCCUGUGCUGUGCCGAGCGGAGUGUAGUCCCAUGGGAGCCGGGCGAGAGGCUCCAGCACCGGGGCCUUCAUUGUUUAUUCUGAUGGAUUCCAGAUGCUGGCAGAGGGAGCAGCCAAACUCCAGGGGCCUACGCCAAAAAACCAGGAAGCAGUCCAGCGCUAUCUGAAAUACUUGGAAAACAUUACUUAGCUUUGUAAUAACCAAGAAAAGAGUGAAAGGGCCAAAAUCUGCACUGAAUUUUCAAAUGCAUUACUGGUGACCACUGGACAUGUGUUGGUUUCACAACUCAAAAUAGUUGUUUCAAGGAAAAUGUAAGGUCCAGGGAUAUUUGCUUAAGAGAGUAGCGUUAGCAUAGUUGUUUUUCCAAAACGUGUUUGAAUUUCAAUAUUACUUUAGAUCUGAUGUUGUAUGUUGUUGAAGAAUGCUUUACAAAACCUGUUAAAUUUGUUAAAGUAGCAACAAAUCUUUUCUUCUGUGUUGUGAUGUAUAUCUGAGUGAAACAGAUUUUCAAAAAAGAGAAUAUGUGGGGUGGGGGAUUGGUUCAAUGCAUCGACUUAACGGAGGCAGAUUUAAAUGUGAGCUUUAGUAAGAAAGGGUCAGGUUUUAAGUAGACUUCAUGUUAUUUCAAUGGAAGAUUAUAGCGAAUUAUGGCAUUUUAAUAAAAAUAAGAGGUCAAAAAUUAAUUAAAGAAAAAAAAAUGUGUUUAGAACAUUUAAUUUUCAUUUCACGCCAACUGUAAUGUACGUCAUAAGCCAAAAAAAUAAAUAAAAAGUGUUUUCACUGUGUUUAUUACAUCUAGAUUAAAGUUAAUUAAUUUUUUUUAUGUUAGACAAAACUUGUUACAAAUGCUAAAAAUGUAUUAAAUUAUAGUAAAGUUAAUAAAUGAGGUUCAUUGUUAGUUGACACCCAAUACACAAACACAUUUUUAUAAAUUGAACCAUGUUGCAAACUGUUAGCGGUGACAUCAUUAUACUGCUGAGGUGUUAAUGACUAUUUCUUUGUGGUUGGCAGCUUCCUUUCCUUUUUCUUAAUGAACACAGAUCCAGUAUCAGCUACUCCGACACCGAUCAUCAAUAAAAAAUGUCAAGGCUGAACCCAGCACACCUGUUCCCUCUUGUCAGUCUCUGCGAUGCUGUCCUUGCAUUUCGGGCGUAAAAAGAGACAGCUGCACCCACAAGAAAAGGACACGGAGAGACCCAAGAAAACACUAGCCUCAUUUAGCCACCCUAGUGGGGAUUAAUAAAUAACACCAGCGUGCACCUGACUGGAAUGCUUGCUCAAGUCCGGCCGUUCGCGGAGCACUCCGGAAAUCGCACACAGGCGCAGCUGAUGAGCUCCACACUAUCAUUCUUGUGUGUGGGACACUGGGAAAGGCCAUCUGCAGGCUCUGUCUUGGCCUUGGCUGAAUCUCCUCAUCCAGGCCAGACAGAGCUCCACUUGAUCCAUUCUCACAUUGUGAUGCUAAUGGCUCAGAGCGCAACACGCGUGGGUACAUUCAUGUCUGUUUACAUGUGCUAAGCAUUGGGAUGACACAUAUUUAUGUAAAGUAUUUCGAGACAAGUCACACUUAAAAUAUCUAAAUAUCAUCUAAUUUAAUCAUUUUUAAUUUCUAAGUAAAGUUUUAUUAAUUUAAUAUUUUGUUGACUAAAGCAAAGACUUUUAUGCAGUUUUAAGUCUGGCUUAAGUGUCCAAAUAGUUUAAAUAUUUUGUGGCCACUGUACAUGUGUUUGUGUGUGUGUACAUGUAUAUAGGAAAAUAUUCUGUUCAGCAAUUAUUAGUGUUUUUUGAGUUUUUGAGAAUUUUUUUUGAUAUUGGGUGAUAUUUAGAAGAAGCAUGAAUUUGAAUGUUUGUGGAUGGCCAUCUAUGCAGGUUUCAUGAUUAGCCAAAUUUUUUUUGUAAUGCAUUUGUGAAGGCAAACAAAAAAUAAAAAAAAUGUGAAGACUAAAAUAAGUGUUUGGAUUUUUGUAGUCUCCUGUUGAUUCUUUUCCCCAAGAGUUGACAUGCAUUUCCUUGCAAAACCAAACUUCAGCAGCCUGGGCCAAAGAGGUGGUUUUUUUCAAUUACCUCCAAGAAUUCGCUAAAACUGCAUAGUCACCCUUCCAAGAAUUCCUCCAUUUUGCACACAGACAAAUGUGGUAAAUUACUAUUACAUUUGUGGCCUCUGUAGAUCUGCAUUUUCUCUCAAAUGGAUGGCAAGACCCUGUAACACCUCCAUAUUAUGUUAAACUAGUUUGCUUUGCUGCCAUUAGACAACGAUUUUAAAAAGAUACGUUUUUGAAAGAUACCGUCAUUUGACUUUGAUUUUUUAUUAUUUUUAAAUUGCCUUUGAGUUUUUAAAGGACAACUGAAAUACAUCAAAUGUAAAUUUUCUGUUGGAAGAUUAUUUGAUUCUUUUAUUAAUUUGAAACAUUUGUUUACGUUUUUAUUGAUUGAUUUUAUUUCACUUUAGCAGGCACUUUACUGUAGAAAGCAAGCAGAGAUGCAGGUUUGAGUGUAUUUACUUGCUUUAAAAAGUGGAUUUAAGUGGGCUCUUUUAUGAACUCGCCCUGACCAGACCCUUUGUAGCAUUUCCCGCUCUUUUAAGUCUUAUCUCUCUCCAAACACUGAAUCCCUAUCUCCCACGUCUCUCCUCUGGCACCCUUUUGUUAAUCUAUAUAGUCUUGAUUGAAAACAGAGGGCUGAUCUGAAAAAGGGAUUUUUAAAGUUUCCCAUGUUAUACCAGUGUGGAACCCAUCUGCUUCUGAUUUCCUUCCCCCUUCAGUCCUGUACGGCCUGAUUGGAGGAACGUCUCCAGCUGUGAGCAAUGACUGCCGUACUGUGGUAUUUGUCCUGUUGCGGGGAGGUUGGCUCUGCUGCGAGGACAGCCAGAAUCGCCCCCCUCUUUCAGUCUCCAUAGGGACCACAGCUGGAGGAAUGGUGAGAGGAGACGCUCGAUCUGAUUUCUCUUCUCCAUAAGUGUUUACAGUCACUGGAUACUUCGAUCUCUUCGAUGUCAUAAGCAUUCAGAAGCUCAGAAAUGUUCUGCUUAGUCCUCACAGUGUGAACCCACUGUCAUUUAAGGCGGCUAGGAUUAACAAUGUGGGGGUCUUUGGAACAAGAUUCACUUUACUGAGUGUUGACAGGCAGAAAAUAUAUUUUGGGUGUGUGUUUUUGGUGAGUGGCUGUUUUUGUCUAUUUUUGCUCCAAAAAUAACUUUAGAACUCGCUUGAACAGCUGGAUAGUGAGGGCCCUUUCUU